CGCAGUAUGACUGCGCAUGCAAUCUUUUCAAUAGCUACAUUCGACGGAAGCAGACGGAUAUAUUUUGUUUUAGAUAAGAUGAACACAAGAGGGUCAAGGAAAAAGCGUAUAGCAGCUACAAAAACAACAACAUUAGAAGCUACUACCCGAGAAGAGGAAACACAGCCCCCAAUAGUACCAGAUCCAGUCCCUAACCAUCCCUCAACUUCAGGAGGAGUAGCAGUAAUGGACCCUACAUCAGUUGUUACAAAUCGACCAGAUAGACAAGUUCAGAAAGUUAUCACCAUUGGCGGAGGAUACACCGGAAAUAGUCCCUCGGGAGUUCAUAUACCUGAUCUCCAAACUGAAAUUGACCGACUAAUUGUAUCAGCAGUCGCACCUAAUACGGCAAAAGUUUACCAACAAGCUUUACGGUCAUUUAAAGAUUUUAGGGCCUUAUUCCACUUCGAAGAUCUAUGGCCUAUUCCAUUACAUCAAAUAACUAACUAUAUUGCCUAUAUGUCAUUAACUGGAAUUGCGGCCUCAACUGUCAAAUCGUAUAUCUCUGGGUUGAGUUUUUUCAGUAAGAUUAACAAUUAUACUGACUGCUUUAAUGCUUUUGUUGUCAGAAAGCUACUCGAAGGAAUGAAGCGUUCUCAGCGUCGACCAAAGGAUGCUAGGUUACCCAUAACGCGUGAUUUAUUGUCAAAAACUUAUAACGUUCUACCUGCUGUUUGUCAUAAUUAUUUUGAAACUAAACUCUUCCAAGCUUGGUUUUCCUUGGACUUUGUUGGUUUCCUUAAUGUUGUCGAAAUAACCGCUUCCAACAUUGGGACUCAGGUGGUAUAAUUAGAGUUAGUCUCCCGCAAGAUUUGUGGGAUAUUUAAUAGAAUAUCAGUGUUUUAUAGCAAAUUAAUUUCAAUUUAUUCCUUCUUUUGCUUAUUUUUACAUGUUAUAAUACUUUUACUACCCGGAGGUAGCGAUCGGCGUUGAUUAUAAAUAAGAAUGAAGCUAUUAAAUUUUCUUUAUGUACUGUUACAUA